GACGAACGCUGGCGGCGUGCUUAACACAUGCAAGUCGAACGGAAAGGCCCUGCUUUUGUGGGGUGCUCGAGUAGCGAGCGGGUGAGUAACACGUGAGUAACCUGCCCUUGACUUUCGGAUAACUUCAGGAAACUGGGGCUAAUACCGGAUAGGAGCUCCUGCAGCAUGGUGGGGGUUGGAAAGUUUCGGCGGUUGGGGAUGGACUCGCGGCUUAUCAGCUUGUUGGUGGGGUAGUGGCUUACCAAGGCUUUGACGGGUAGCCGGCCUGAGAGGGUGACCGGCCACAUUGGGACUGAGAUACGGCCCAGACUCCUACGGGAGGCAGCAGUGGGGAAUAUUGUACAAUGGGCGGAAGCCUGAUGCAGCAACGCCGCGUGCGGGAUGACGGCCUUCGGGUUGUAAACCGCUUUCGCCUGUGACGAAGCGUGAGUGACGGUAAUGGGUAAAGAAGCACCGGCUAACUACGUG
rnacentral:rRNA from 1 species